AGCAGUGUAGCAUAGUGGUUAAGGAGCAGGGCUUGUAACCGAUAGGUUGCCGGUUCAAUUCCCCACUGGGCCACUGUUG